AAUUCUUUGAAGCCAAUCAGAUUCUUUUAAGUACUAUGUGUAUGUGUGACGUGAUGGUGUAUCUGCAAGUAUAAAAUCCCGAGCCUUUUGUCUGUAUCUGCACUGUGUUUUAAAAACUCUGAGACUGAUAGGUAAAAGGUUGCUACUAGUUAGAUGUGCAUUCCACAUUAAAAUGUGAUUCUAAAUGUAUUUUUAGCUUUAAAUGAAAUGACAUUAUAUUACUGUUCUUUAUUGUUUUUACAUGACUAUCCUACAAAACAAGUCAAUAGACAUUUUAAACACCUAAAUGACUUAGUUAAAAAUUGCAGAGAAGGGGCUGGCGAGAUGGCUCGGUGGUUAAGAAUGCUGACUGCUCUUCCGAAGGUCCCGAGUUCACCGAGUUCAAAUCCCAGCAACCACAUGGUGGCUCACAACCAUCCGUAACGAGAUCUGAUGUCCUCUUCUGAAGUGUCCUAAGACAGCUACAGUGUACUUACAUAUAAUAAAUAAAUAAAUCUUUUAAAAAAUUGCAGAGAAGAGGCAGGCAUGGUUACAGGUGCCUACGGUCUCAGCACUGUAGAGGCUGAGGCAGGAGGAGAGAGAAUGUGAGUCCAGCUUAAGCUACAGAGCAUGGGCCACCCUUUAAUAAAAGAAAAGGUUGCUUGAAAAUAUUAACAAUUCAGUUGGAGAGUGGUGUCACACGCCUUUAAUCCCAGCACUCAGGAGGCAGAGGCAGGAGGAUUUCUGAGUUCGAGGCCAGCCUGGUCUACAGAGUGAGUUCCAGGACAGCCAGGACUACACAGAGAAACCCUGUCUUGAAAAACCAAAAAGAAAAAAGCAGAAGAAAAAAAAGAAAAUAUUAACAGUUACUGGUAACAACAAAGCUUACAGAUUUACAUUUUAAAGUCAGGUUUUUAGAAAGCUUAGUUUAAAAUUAUUAAACUUGGAUUGAUGGAUAUUACUUUAGUCUUAAAAAAUUAAUACCAGUGUGAAAAUAUGUGGAUGCUUUAAGAAAAAGUUUGAUAACAAAAUUAUGUUAACAUUGUGGAAAUAGCUUUAAAUUUUUCAUUUAAAAAUACUUAAGGUAUUUUUUAAGGGAAAAUGUAUCACAGAUGUUUUUCUCUUGCUUUGAUUUUAUUUUUUAUUUUUUGCAAACAAGAUGUAUUGUCAUGGAACUAGCUCUGUAGACCAGCCUGGCCUUGAACUCUGAAGUCUGCCUGCGUCUGCCUCCUGAUCACUGGGGUUAAAUGAGCCACCACCACCCACUUUGUUUUGAAGUUAAAUUUUUUUACGUUUUGAGACAAUAUUGGAUAGUUCCAAAAAGCUUUCAGUUUAUUUCAUCAUGUACCAUCUAUUAUGUUGUCACUUCUAAAGUAUUGUUGUAUGAGAAAAACUGGGCUUUAACUUAAGUGUGUAAGACUAGAUUAAAAUUCCAAACCUGGCUAUGGAGAAUUUGUGACCAUGACCAUGAUUUUAGGGAUGACUCAGACAUUCUACUCCAUUUAACUGAGAAACUGUAAUGAUUGCCAAAGACCUUAAACUGUUAACAUCUCUUGAUAUGGUAGAAUAUUAGCCUUUUUAUUUUGAAUUCAGAGGUAGAUUGCUGUUGAUCAAGAGUAAAGGGGAUAACAUCAUUUUAUCCUUUGGAAAGUGAAAUGGUACUGACUGAAAGCUCCUUUCCUUUUUAGAGAAGAUGUGUAUCUGGGAAAAGACAUGUCCUUUUUGCUGAGACAGAAACCUGAGCAAUAGCAAAUGUGUUUGCCACAGUCUGUUUAGAAAUUGCCUUUUACCUAGAGGUUAUCAUCUGUCAGGUGCUGCAGAGUUCAGCUCGCCAAGGUGGAAGGCAUUUCUACUGUUACAUUAAUAGAGGAAUUGAAUAUUGAGAAAGUUUUAUUAGUUCUAUGUUGAUUAGCAUGUAAACUAAAGAAAUCCUUAUUUUCUUUAAGAUAAUAAUAAAAUAACUUUGAUUUCCAGGUGUUGCAUGUAAACUAAAGAAAUCCUUAUUUUCUUUAAGAUAAUAAUAAAAUAACUUUGAUUUCCAGGUGUUCUUCUGUAUGGACCUCCAGGCUGUGGGAAAACAUUAAUUGCCAAAGCAACAGCCAAAGAAGCAGGCUGUCGGUUCAUUAACCUCCAGCCUUCGACACUGACUGAUAAGUGGUAUGGAGAAUCUCAAAAACUGGCUGCUGCUGUUUUCUCCCUUGCCAUAAAGCUACAGCCUUCUAUCAUAUUUAUUGAUGAAAUAGGUAUGCUAUUUCCUAUGUGAGCAUUUUAAAAAGCCAUUUAAAGGUGCUAUGUAGAGAAACAGAUUUAAUUUUAGUAUUUAUCUAGGUCUAUGGAAAACCAAAAGAUCUGUUCUUUUUUUUUUUUUAAGAUUUAUUUAUUCAUGUAUUUUAUGUAUAUGAGUACGCUGUCUUCAUUUGUAUUGGAAGAGGGCAUCAGAUCCCAUUACAGAUUGUUGUGAGCCACCAUGUGGUUGCUGGGAAUUGAAACCUCUGGAAAACCUCUGGAAGGAAGAUCAGCCAGUGCUCUUAACUGCUGAGCCAUCUCUCCAACCCCAAGAUUUGUUCUUUUUAAAGAAUUUGUGUGAGUGACUGUGCCAUGUGGAAGUCAGAGGACAGCUUGGUAGAGUUGGUUCUUCCCAUUUACACAGGACCAGAGGAUCAAACUCAUGCUACCAGGUUUGUGCAGUUAUAGCCUUUACCUCCGAGCCAUGCUAGCUUCAAAAGGUAUAGUCUAAUAUGCCAUGUGUAAUUUCCAUGAUAUAAAAGGGGCCAUAGUUUGUUUACUCCCUUAUUUGAGUGAUGGAUAUCUCUUCUCAAUUUUUUUUUUGUUUGUUAAUUUUGUUUGUUUGUUUGUUUUUUGUUUAUUUUUUUCGAGACAGGGUUUCUCUGUAUAGCCCUGGCUGUCCUGCAACUCACUUUGUAGACCAGGCUGUCCUCGAACUCAAAAAUCCGCCUGCCUCUGCCUCCCGAGUACUGGAAUUAAAGGCGUGCGCCACCACUGCCCAGCUUCUCAAUUUCAAAUAAUAUAUAUGUUGUAGACUUACAUGUGUGAAUAUUUUCUUAUGCACAUGAUUGUCUAUGAUAAAUACUUAGAAGCUUUAUAUAAAGCUUUUUUUUAAUAUUGGGAUUACUUGUUCUUGAAAGUAUUGCACUAAACUGAGGAGGGCAGGGUGAAUGCCCGCAAUCCCAGAACUGGGGAGGCUGAUCGAAGGAUCGAGAGAUUGUCUUCCUUGUUUUGUUUUGCAUAUAAUAUGAGUUAGAAAUUUUAUUUUAUUUUUCCCAUUUGGAUCGUCAACUUAGAAGAAG
rnacentral:lncRNA from 1 species